GCACAACGGGGUAAGAAAAGAGCCGAUGGACCUUCAUCAGGUAAUCAAUCAGCGAGUGAAAAAAAGAAAAUGUCUGCAGCUGCCCAUUUGUCGCGGACAAUGGAUAAGAUGCUAGAGGUUGCUUAAUCUCAAGGUUGUGAGGUCACUGUGAAAUCUCAUGCCGAUAGCAACAAUGCAACAAUUGGCUAAUUGUCUACAAUUGUUGGGCAUAUCCUAGGGAUUGAUUGAAUAACCCUCUUUUCAUUAUCUGGUAAUUUUUAUUACAUAAAUAAAAUUCUUGGGGUAAAUUAAAAGAUUAAUAACUUUUAGAGGUAAAGUGAAAAAGGUUAUUUAGAAAAUAUAAUUAUUUAAAAGUUGGCGGGGCUUAAAGUGUAAUUUUACCAAUGAAUUUGAACGUAACACAACGACGUGACACACACAUGGCCGCUUGGUUGAUUUGUCUUCGUAAAGACAAAAAGUUUAUAAAUGAAGGGAAGAAACAGAGGCUUAAGGAAAGAAAGAAAAAGACACUGAUAGAAAGAAAGAAAUGGGAGUUAGAGAAAUUAUAUGGUAUGAUUAGUUUUAAUCAUUAGAUGUAUUAUGUAAAUCACGGUGAGAUAAUGUCGGAUUGAGGUACAAGUUUAGUAUGAUGAAUCAUGGAGCCAGAUCUUCAUAUUUGAGAGUGUCAAUUUAUUUGAGGUAAGCAGGAGGUAUACAUAUCUUUCUAAACUUCGGAUUUAUUUCUUGCAAUUAUCUAAUUUGUACUCUUUUUGAGGCAAGUGUGCUAUCUGUUGAAUCCAUGAGUUUUAUUGAAAUUCAUGAUAUUUGUAAAUCAUGAUUUGUAUUGGCGAAGUGCCAUGGUAUUGAAUGGUACGGACUGGGGUGAGGCCUGCAAAUAAUAAUCCUGGGCACCCCGGGAAUAGCUCAGAAAGGCUAGGUGAGGUGGGCGAGGCCGUCCAACCAGUCGUGUACCAGGAAAGACCGAGUAUGAGGUCUUUGAUAAAUUAUUGAUUCGUUUGAGGCUAUUCCCCAUUGUUUUGUAAUACCUUUUUUCCUGCUUAUUUAAUUUUCAGGUGGACGAGGGAGUCCGGGUAGUGCGAGAUGGGUCGGGAGAAAAGACUGGAAUUUAAUAAUUAUUUGUAUAAUUUUAUUUGAAGAGAAAUUGUCAAAAUAAAGACUCUGAUAAUUAAAUAUUUGGAGGUUUUUAGCGCUCUGAUUUGUAUAUUUAGAGAUACGAUUGCGGACUACACUCUACCGAGCGGCCCGGGGCCAGUUCGUUACUUGAUCCACUGUCCCACUUGUCACCCUUAUAUUUGCUCGGGACGCAACUGAUUACAAUUCUAACAAAUCGGGAGGUCUUUAUGGGACUACCAAAUGAUGACGUAUGUCUAGCAUGCCUGCAGCUGCACAGAGAUCAAGCCGCAAGGACUACCCCCCCAAAUUUUCCUGCACUUUACCCUUACCCUUGGCCCCCAACGCCUUCCUAUUAUUACCCUCGACAGCCUUGAUGUGGAGUAAUUUUUGAGGGUUUUUUUAUUCCUUUGUUUUCUGGACAAAUUUUUUUUAAGCCGUAGGGUAGCUUUUUUUAAGAUAAUUUUUCUAUUCGCUUAUUUUAAGUAGUUUUUUUGCUUAAAAUAAGCACUACCAAAUGGAGCCUCAGUUUUGUACACAGGAAAAGCCCAUAUGGCCGAUAAAUGUACAUACUUUUUCUUAGUACACAUUCUCAUCGUUUUGAUUUCUAAAUGCACAUACUUUUUUCUCAGGACACAUUCUCAUCAUUUUGAUUUUUAAAUGCACAUAUUUUUUCUCAGGACACAUAAUUCUAUAUUACACAUACUAAAAGAUUGGAAAUAUUUUUUUUCUUUAUACACACAAUUUCACAAUACACCUGUUAAAAAAUUGACACCAUUUUUUCCCCUUCGGAAUAUGCAUCUCCUAUAAAUCCUUCUCAUCAAUUAUGGUUGCCACCCUUCCCUAACGGCAGAGAGAGAAAAUACAUGAGUUUCAUAUAUUGAAGGGGGAUAUUAGAUAUAGAUGAGUGGAAAAGAAGAAGAAGAUAGCAUAUAAUUUUAUUUUUUUAAAUGUUCGAAGAGAGAAAAUUGUGAACCAAAAUGGAUGAGGGGGACUAAGGGCAGCAGGCGGGCUGGAGAUAAAUGGGAAACUCUAUAGUCAAAUUGUGAUAAUUACCACGAACAUCAUAAAACAUGUCGAUAAACGAAAGGAGGAAAGUGCAAAAAAGAAUCAAAAAAUUAUUAAAGAAAAAAUAAAUCAUUAUUUGUUGUAUUAUUUUUAUGAAUUCUUUUAAAUAUAAAUUUUUAGGAGAAUUACGGGAAAAAAACAAGAGUUUGACCAUAGAAACAAAUUAAACCUUAUAAUUUCAAUUGUAACAAAUCAAAUCUUGAAGUUUUAGUUCGGUAGUAAUUUAAAUCAUCUGUUAAUCUCCAUAUAUGCUUGCACGAUUCUAAUGCUAUCUAACUAUUAAAGGAAUUUCUCAAUCGUAGGAAUUUAUCAAUACAGCAUA
rnacentral:lncRNA from 1 species